GAUGAAGAACGCAGCGAAAUGCGAUAAGUAAUGUGAAUUGCAGAAUUCAGUGAAUCAUCGAGUCUUUGAACGCACAUUGCGCCCGCCAGUAUUCUGGCGGGCAUGCCUGUUCGAGCGUCAUUUCAACCAUCAAGCCCCCGGCUUGUGUUGGGGACCUGCGGCUGCCGCAGGCCCUGAAAACCAGUGGCGGGCUCGCUGUCACACCGAGCGUAGUAGAUUUUCAUCUCGCUCAGGGCGUGCUGCGGGUUCCGGCCGUAAAAAGCCUUAUUUACCCAAGGUUGACCUCGGAUCAGGUAGGAAGACCCGCUGAACUUAAGCAUAUCAAUAAGCGGAGGA
rnacentral:misc_RNA from 1 species